rnacentral:rRNA from 1 species
GACGAACGCUGGCGGCGUGCUUAACACAUGCAAGUCGAACGGAAAGGCCCUGCUUUUGUGGGGUGCUCGAGUGGCGAACGGGUGAGUAACACGUGAGUAACCUGCCCUUGACUUUGGGAUAACUUCAGGAAACUGGGGCUAAUACCGGAUAGGAGCACCUGCUGCAUGGUGGGGGUUGGAAAGUUUCGGUGGUUGGGGGUGGACGUGGGGCUUAUCAGCUUGUGGGUGGGGUAGUGGCUUACCAAGGCUUUGGCGGGUAGCCGGCCUGGGAGGGUGACCGGCCCCAUUGGGACUGAGGUGCCGGCCGGAGUGCUACGGGAGGCAUGAGUGGGGGAUAUUGCGCAAUGGGCGGAAGCAUGAAGCAGCAACGCCGCGUGGUGGAUGUCGGCCUUCGGGGUGUAACGCGCUUUCGCCUGUGACGAAGAGUCAGUGACGGUAAUGGGUCAGGAAGCAACGGCUAACUACGUG